rnacentral:rRNA from 1 species
UACGUAGGGCGCAAGCGUUGUCCGGAAUUAUUGGGCGUAAAGAGCUCGUAGGCGGCCUGUUGCGUCCGCUGUGAAAUCCCGGGGCUCAACCCCCGGGCCUGCAGUGGAUACGGGCUGGCUAGAGGCAGGCAGGGGAGAACGGAAUCCUGGUGUAGCGGUGAAAUGCGCAGAUAUCAGGAGGAACACCGGUGGCGAAGGCGGGACUCUGGGCCGAUACUGACGCUGAGGAGCGAAAGCGUGGGGAGCAAACAGG